rnacentral:rRNA from 1 species
CACUCCUGCGGGAGGCAGCAGUGGGGAAUUUUGGACAAUGGGCGAAAGCCUGAUCCAGCAAUGCCGCGUGUGUGAAGAAGGCCUUCGGGUUGUAAAGCACUUUUGUCCAGAAAGAAAUCCUUGGCUCUAAUACAGUCGAGGGAUGACGGUACCGGAAGAAUAAGCACCGGCUAACUACGUGCCAGCAGCCGCGGUAAUACGUAGGGUGCGAGCGUUAAUCGGAAUUACUGGGCGUAAAGCGUGCGCAGGCGGUUUGCUAAGACCGAUGUGAAAUCCCCGGGCUCAACCUGGGAACUGCAUUGGUGACUGGCAGGCUAGAGUAUGGCAGAGGGGGGUAGAAUUCCACGUGUAGCAGUGAAAUGCGUAGAGAUGUGGAGGAAUACCGAUGGCGAAGGCAGCCCCCUGGGCCAAUACUGACGCUCAUGCACGAAAGCGUGGGGAGCAAACAGGAUUAGAAACCCUAGUAGUCCCAUGA